CUCGCAUCCCUAUGAUGAUCUAAAACCUUUUCCUUUACUAUGGAGUUUUCUAAGAUGUCAUCUCAACUGGCUUGUUUUAAUUGUCACUGUAUGGUGUCUCUCUAAUAAACAACAUAUACCUGGAUUUUUAAUUUUGAUUCAAUUUGAGAAUCUCUGUCUUUAAAAAAGAGGCAAAAAGAUGAAAUGGUCCUUCUUUCACUGGCCACUGUUGAGUCUGGAUGUUGUACUUGGAACUGCUGCAGUCAUCGUGCCAUCAGCCUUUGGAUGAAGUUAACACACGGGAGAAGACAAAGCUAAGAAGAGAGAGAGAGGGACCUGGAGGCUGCCCUAUUUAAUGUUGUGGUAAAAAUGCCUGUAUGGUUUGAGUUGUGUUUUUUAUUACCUGAAGCCAAGAUCUUCCUAACUGAUGUGAGAGGUGAGGUGGGAAGACUUCAGAGCUGUCCCUUGGGAGUCUUAUUGUCACCUCAGGACAAUCCCUGCAGUCUACUAAGUUGUCUCAUGCAGGGAUUCAGAUAGGUCCCAGGUGACUUGGGCUGAUUUCCCCUUUGUUUUCUUUGGACAGUUACUGGAAUAACUGAAUGUUGGCAUUUCCAUAUCCCAAUGUCUCUUUUCAACCCUUCUUUUCCAUCUUAAAUGUAAGCUCUUCCAGCUGAUUUUUGAAUGACCUAAAACCGGGAGAACUAUUGAUGCUGCACAGUACUGACCCAUGUAUCAAUUUCUGUGCCUUGAAAUUAGGAAAAAAAAUGCCCAGUGAAUAUUACUUUUGGCCAAAUGUAAUGAAAAGCAAAAAUUUCUGAUUUUCAAAUGUGUGUUCAUUGCCUCCUUUGUGCCUUCACUCUCUCUUGACCAUGACUUGUCACUCUCUUUCAAACGCUUUUCCAAGCAUUGAAACUUCAAAAAAUUUCCAAAUGCUCAACACCACCUCUCCUGCCAAAAAAUGUUGUAAUAUAUUAGAUUAAAUUGAUUUUAUAAAUUCAAAUUUAUAAUUGGAG
rnacentral:lncRNA from 1 species